ACACACACAAACACACGCACACACACCAAACAAACUCCUCAUACCACAAUGAGGCUUGGAAAAGAAGCCUUCUGCUGGAGCUAACUAUAAGACAAGAUCCGUUAGUUCAGUAUAUAUAUAUAUGUGUGUGUGUGUGUGUGUGUGUGUGUGUGUGUGUGU